GACGAACGCUGGCGGCGUGCUUAACACAUGCAAGUCGAACGGAAAGGCCCUGCUUUUGUGGGGUGCUCGAGUGGCGAACGGGUGAGUAACACGUGAGUAACCUGCCCUUGACUUUGGGAUAACUUCAGGAAACUGGGGCUAAUACCGGCUAGGAGCUCCUGCUGCAUGGUGGGGGUUGGAAAGUUUCGGCGGUUGGGGAUGGACUCGCGGCUUGUCAGCUUGUUGGUGGGGUAGUGGCUUACCAAGGCUUUGACGGGUAGCCGGCCUGAGAGGGUGACCGGCCACAUUGGGACUGAGAUACGGCCCAGACUCCUACGGGAGGCAGCAGUGGGGAAUAUUGCACAAUGGGCGGAAGCCUGAUGCAGCAACGCCGCGUGCGGGAUGACGGCCUUCGGGUUGUAAGCCGCUUUCGCCUGUGACGAAGCGUGAGUGACGGUAAUGGGUAAAGAAGCACCGGCUAACUACGUG
rnacentral:rRNA from 1 species